CCUCCGUCCCAAAACAAAUUUUCAGAUACAAUGUUUCACUCUUCGUCUUAUUUAAAAAAAUUUACAAUUAAUAAUUUUAUUUUUAUUAGAUGAUAAAACAUGAAUAGUACUUUAUGUGUGACUAAUUUUUUUAAAAUUUUUUGAAAAAUUUUCAAAUAAGACAGAUGGUCAAACGUUCGACAUAAAAACCGAAAAGUUGGUUUUCGU
rnacentral:pre_miRNA from 1 species